AGCAGCCGCGGUAAUUCCAGCUCCAAUAGCGUAUAUUAAAGUUGUUGCAGUUAAAAAGCUCGUAGUUGAAUUCCGGGAUCAAGUCGUCGGUCGUGCCUCGGUACGCACUGGUGACAUUGGUUUCUCCCUUCUGAAGAACCUUGAUGUCAUUAAUUUGGUGUCUUGGGAAAUCAGGACUGUUACUUUGAAAAAAUUAGAGUGUUUAAAGCAAGCUCACGCUUGAAUACAUUAGCAUGGAAUAAUGAAAUAGGACGUUUGAUUCUAUUUUGUUGGUUUCUAGGAUCGACGUAAUGAUUAAUAGGGAUAGUUGGGGGCAUUAGUAUUCAAUUGUCAGAGGUGAAAUUCUUGGAUUUAUUGAAGACUAACUACUGCGAAAGCAUUUGCCAAGGAUGUUUUCAUUAAUCAAGAACGAAAGUUAGGGGAUCGAAGACGAUCAGAUACCGUCGUAGUCUUAACCAUAAACUAUGCCGACUAGGGAUCGGAUGAUGUUAAUUUUUAAUGACUCAUUCGGCGCCUUAAC
rnacentral:rRNA from 1 species